rnacentral:rRNA from 1 species
AGUUAUAUGCUUGUCUCAAAGAUUAAGCCAUGCAUGUCUAAGUACAAACGAAAAUAAAGUGAAACCGCAAAAGGCUCAUUAUAUCAGUUAUGGUUUCUUAGAUCGUAUCCACAAUUACUUGGAUAACUGUGGUAAUUCUAGAGCUAAUACAUGCAUUUAAAGAGAAACCGGUAAAAUGGGUUCUCUGCUUUUAUUAGAUUUAAACCAAUGGGGAGCGUUUCGGCGUUCUUACAUUUAAACUGGUUGAACUCUGGAUAAUUUGUUGAUCGCAUGGUCUCGUACCGGCGACGGAUCUUUCAAAUGUCUGCCCUAUCAACUAUUGAAGGUAAUGUCUUGGAUUACCUUGGUUGCAACGGGUAACGGGGAAUCAGGGUUCGAUUCCGGAGAGGGAGCCUGAGAAACGGCUACCACAUCUAAGGAAGGCAGCAGGCGCGUAAAUUACCCACUCCCAGCACGGGGAGGUAGUGACGAAAAAUAACAAUACAAGACUCACAUCCGAGGCCUUGUAAUUGGAAUGAGUACACUUUAAAUCCUUUAACAAGGAUCAAUUGGAGGGCAAGUCUGGUGCCAGCAGCCGCGGUAAUUCCAGCUCCAAUAGCGUAUAUUAAAGUUGUUGCGGUUAAAACGUUCGUAGUUGAACUUGUGUUCCGCACGGGCAGUACCAAACAACUGGUAAAACAGUAGUGGUACCUUGUCUUACUUCCUGUCUCCGGAUUAGGAAAUGUGCGUGGACGUAUUAUCGGCGUGUUCGCUCUAGCAGCGUUCACAUCAGCCCAUCGCAGUGCUCUUAAACAAGUGUUGCUGUGGGCCGAUACAAAUUACUUUGAACAAAUUAGAGUGCUUAAAGCAGGCUUGUAAUGCCUGAAUAUUUUGUGCAUGGAAUAAUGAAAUAGGACAUCUGUUCUACUUUCAUUGGUUUUUUAGACCAAGA